CCACGCGAUGUUGGCUUAGACCAUAGUCCAUUUAUUAUCAUCGUUGCGAGUAAGAUUGUACGAAGUGUUUUUAUUGAGUCUACUAACGUCAACAUCGCUUAACCCUUUAUUGGGAAUAAUAAUGUGUUUGAUUUAAAUAAUUUACGAGAAGGGGAGAGGGAAUUUUGCGAAGAUCUUGGUGAAGAUUUUGACGGUUUCAACGAGGUGCCCCCCCCCUCCCCCCCCAACUUUCAAGAAUGGGAGUGGCAGAGGGACCACAACGGUGGAGACAUGAGGGAUUUUGAAGAGGCGACAGGACUCAAGAAUAUAUAUUGACACGGUGAGUGAAGUAUCGUGCUAUUGAUUUUUUCCAACUGUUUUACAAUGAUUCUGUGUUUGAACAGAUUAUCAGUGCGACGAAUGAGAAUGCAGCCUACAGGUGAACGAGCGAUCACAACAACAACAAAGAUCAAUCUGUGAUAUCUUCUCUGUGAUGUCAUUCUUAUAGUAGCUGUGGUUCAAUGUUUAGAUGUGCAUGAAGAGAAUUUACCUGUAACACCUGGGAUUACCUGUGCCGUCCGUCCAAGAUGACAAGUCCACUGUGUUACGUUUACC